AGGGAAACAACCCAGACCGCCAGCUAAGGUCCCAAAGUCAUGGUUAAGUGGGAAACGAUGUGGGAAGGCCCAGACAGCCAGGAUGUUGGCUUAGAAGCAGCCAUCAUUUAAAGAAAGCGUAAUAGCUCACUGGUCGAGUCGGCCUGCGCGGAAGAUGUAACGGGGCUAAACCAUGCACCGAAGCUGCGGCAGCGACACUCAGGUGUUGUUGGGUAGGGGAGCGUUCUGUAAGCCUGUGAAGGUGGCCUGUGAGGGUUGCUGGAGGUAUCAGAAGUGCGAAUGCUGACAUAAGUAACGAUAAAGCGGGUGAAAAGCCCGCUCGCCGGAAGACCAAGGGUUCCUGUCCAACGUUAAUCGGGGCAGGGUGAGUCGACCCCUAAGGCGAGGCCGAAAGGCGUAGUCGAUGGGAAACGGGUUAAUAUUCCCGUACUUGGUGUUACUGCGAAGGGGGGGACGGAGAAGGCUAUGUUGGCCGGGCGACGGUUGUCCCGGUUUAAGCGUGUAGGUGUGUGUUCCAGGUAAAUCCGGUUCACUUUAACACUGAGGCGUGACGACGAGGCACUACGGUGCUGAAGCAACAAAUGCCCUGCUUCCAGGAAAAGCCUCUAAGCAUCAGGUAACAUCAAAUCGUACCCCAAACCGACACAGGUGGUCAGGUAGAGAAUACCAAGGCGCUUGAGAGAACUCGGGUGAAGGAACUAGGCAAAAUGGUGCCGUAACUUCGGGAGAAGGCACGCUGACACGUAGGUGAAGUGAUUUACUCAUGGAGCUGAAGUCAGUCGAAGAUACCAGCUGGCUGCAACUGUUUAUUAAAAACACAGCACUGUGCAAACACGAAAGUGGACGUAUACGGUGUGACGCCUGCCCGGUGCCGGAAGGUUAAUUGAUGGGGU
rnacentral:rRNA from 4 species